rnacentral:rRNA from 1 species
ACUCAAAGGAAUAGACGGGGGCCCGCACAAGCGGUGGAACAUGUGGUUUAAUUCGACACUACGCGAGGAACCUUACCUAGGCUUGACAUGUAUUUGACCGCUGUAGAAAUACAGUUUUCUGGGCUUCGGUCCAGACGGAUACACAGGUGCUGCAUGGCUGUCGUCAGCUCGUGUCGUGAGAUGUUGGGUUAAGUCCUCUAACGAGCGCAACCCCUGCUGUCAGUUGCAAUUGCGUAAGCAAGCACUCUGAUGGGACUGCCUGGGAAACCAGGAGGAAGGUGGGGAUGACGUCAAGUCAUCAUGGUCCUUAUGCCUAGGGCUACACACGUGUUACAAUGGCUAGUACAAAGAGCUGCAAGCUUGUAAAAGUGAGCUAAUCUCAAAAAACUAGUCUAAGUUCGGAUUGGGGUCUGCAACUCGACCCCAUGAAGCUGAAAUCGCUAGUAAUCGCAUAUCAGAACGAUGCGGUGAAUACGUUCUCGGGCCUUGCACACACCGCCCGU